UGUCUCGACCGCACGCUAGGUUAUCCCCGCCCGUCCCCGGCUCGACCGCGCCGCCGCCACCGCCCGUCCCCGGCUCCACCGCGCCGCCAUCGCCCGUCUCCACCUCCACCGCGCCGCCGCAGCUGGUCCCCGCCUCCACCGCGCCGCCGUCGGGACCCUUGUCCACUGCGCCCCCCACCCGUCCUCCUCCAAUGGCGCGACCGCCACCGGGCCGUCCUCCCCUGCCCUAGCGGCACGGCUGCCGUGGGCAGCACCGCCGCCGGCUCCCUCCUACGCAUCCGCCGCCGCUGGUUACCACCGAAGCGGGGCACCACCUCCCCCUCUGCCCCACCCCACGGGAUUUUCUCUUCACCUCGAGGAGCAUUGUCCGUCCCGUUGCCAUUGCCAUCAUUGUUCGACUACCGCCUCUACGGUCUCGGGGAUUUCUAUAGAUGCGGGGAUGGAAAGUUGGAGGAGGCAUGAGCAGUUGUCAACAAACAUUGCCCGAAGCUUAUGCAUAAUCUGAUGCAUGAGGC